UGUGUAGGUAUUUAUUAGGUAAGAUGCAGUUUUUCUCCCUUUCCUUUCUCUGUUUUCACAUUCUCUAUUUUGUGUGAACCCAUGUAAAUGACUGAAGCCAUAUGUAAGUACCAUUUCCACUAUUUCUGAAUCUUCAGGUACAAGCAAGGGUCUCUCCAGAAGACUUCCAGCUGUUUAACACACACUUGGACUAGAGCUAGUACAUCUGCCUCCCUGCAGAGCCUGUUUGUUGGUUUUUGUCUAGUUAGCUCUGAGCAGAAGCAGAGUGAAAGGAACAAGUAACUGAGCCUGGCCUUUCCCACCUGUGGAGAGGUGCCCUGAUUUUCUUAUUAAGGUUGUAUCCCCUUCCUCUCCUUUGUUGCUGCAUACUAGUUCACCUCCCAUGGGGUAGAAAAGGGCAGACAUGCUUUACAAAUUCUUUGCUUUUUAAUUAUUCACUCCCAUCAUCUGGCUAAAGCUUCCUCUCAUCAAGUUCCUACUUGACUAGCUACAAGAUGUCUGCAUUCACCUCCAGGAAGCAAAGAAAGAAUAAGGCAUCUAAUUCACAUGGUUGAAAUUACUUAGGAAACAGAAUGGUCUGUGCUGAUGUGGAAUAUAGCCAAGAUACUAUAAAAGAUGCCCUUGUUAUUCAAGAGGCACCAAUAGAUGUUUACAUGAUAAAAAAGAUAAAGACAAAAGUUUUCCAGUCAGGAGACACCCACUCCUCUUGCAUGUAUAUUCCUUAUUACUGGCAUUUUGUUUGUUCAUCUAACAAAACAUAGGAGGCUGGCUUACUAAAAGCUGAGUUACUAAAUGAUCUACUUACUUUUUUUGUUAAAUAAUUUAUUACUGCAUAAACAUAUUUUUUUUCCAAUUAAAAAAUGCCCAUCACCUCCUAUUCAGCUUUGCAGUCUCUCUUGGUGUAAAUUUUCUUUGGAGGCUCUGUCUCGUGACACUGGUUUUGUAAGUGACACUGACCAGCUGGGCAUUUAUCCACUGUCUUGUGCUGAGCCACAUGGAGAUGUUUUGUGACACACUUCCCUGCCUGGGAAAUAUCUGGGAUAUGGGGGUGGUUUAAAAUGUUUGUUUGAGUAAGAUGAGAAAUGAUCUCACAAGUUGCCGGAAAGGAGCUUAGUGCAAUGGGAGCUAAGAGAGGACGUGUCCAGUAUGGUGAAGAAGGAAUUACUCAUCAGCUCAUAUAAAUAACAAUAGCAGGUGUGGGUAAUUGCACUUUAGUAAAAUUGUAUUUGAAAGCAGUUAAGUUGUAGUUUCUUAGCAACCGCGGCUGACAGCCACAUUUUACGUGGCCAAGGCUUUUCAAUUAUGCAACACCCAUACCCUGCUAUGCAACAGCAUUAAAUGGGGAGAAACACCAAAGCAGAAGUAUUUUUACUCUCUAAACAGAAACACAACAGAAGGCCAGAGCCACAGAGCAGGUGAUGAAGUAGAAAAAGCAGAAAUUACAUUUACAUUUCCAGGUGUCCAUAGAUUUCUCAAGCAGAAGUACUGAUUUACAAAUAAGAGUGGACUCUUCAAAUGAAUAUAGUCUGCUAUACACUGAACCAAAAUUUUCAAAAAUGGCCUGGAAUUCAGUGUACCUCAAAACAGAGCAACACGAUUUUGGACAUUUGAUUCAGGCAGGAGCUGAUUUUCCCUCUAGUUCCCCCUGAAAUCAAGUGGAUUGCAAGUUGAAAUCUGAAGAUGGUUGACUAGUUCAGUACACACAUUACAAUGAUAAAAGCCACAUAUGCUACAUGGGAUUUUUUCUUACAGAAAUCCAAUCUUGGUGCCAGAUAAAGCUGCCACACUUUUCUAUGUUUCCUUUUUCUUCUUUUUUUUUUCUCUAGUUGAUCUAGAAAAGGUUGUCUAAAUAAUCUAAAUAAUGAUCUAAAUUAAUAAUUUAGAUUAACAAUAAAUCAUCACAGAUACUGCUUAAUUUCUUAUUUAUUUUUUCAUUUUGUGGAAUAGGAACGUAUUUCUUUCUUUUGAUACUUUUACUCAAAAUGAAUGAUACCAUCUUUCUUCAGUAGCUAUUUCUCAGUUACUCUUAUGUCAAGGAUAUUUUUCGAAUGAUAUUUAGAAACCACUUCCAUAAUUGUAUGUGCUGUUUAUUUAAGCCAUGUAGAAUUUUAAAGUUGUCUCCAUCGGCUGAUGGCAGGGCACCUAUCCCAUAAAAGAACAUGUUUUUAUAAUUAAAAGAGAUACUGCUGUCUCUACACAGCCUUUGCCUAUUACUGCCAAUUAAAUCAUUGACACUCCA